rnacentral:pre_miRNA from 1 species
UUUGUACUCCCAUCCGUCCCAAAAUUCUUGUCUUAAAUUUGUCUAAAUACGGAUGUAUCUAGUUACAUUUUAGUGUUAGAUACAUCCGUAUCUAAACAAAUGUAAGACAAGAAUUUUGGGACGGAGGGAAUACUAC